rnacentral:rRNA from 1 species
AUUGAACGCUGGCGGCAGGCUUAACACAUGCAAGUCGAGCGGAGCGGCGGACGGGUGAGUAAUGCCUAUGAAUCUGCCUGGAAGUGGGGGAUAAUGUGCGGAAACGGGCGCUAAUACCGCAUACUAUCAGUUGUGCAUGGGGGGGAUUGGCUAGUUGGUGGGGUAAUGGCCUAGCGAGUCGACGAUCCGGAACUGGUCUGAGAGGAUGAUCAGUCACACUGGAACUUAGACACGGACCAGACUCCUACGGGAGGCAGCGGGGGGGAAUAUUGGGCAAUGGGCGAAAGCCUGAUACAGCCAUGCCGCGUGGGUGAAGAAGGUCUGCAGGUUGUAAGGCUCUUUACGUUGGGAGGCGGUACCAGCAGAAUAAGCGCCGGCUAACUACGUGCCAGCAGCCGCGGUAAUAC